AGUAGCAUACUGCAUAGGUAUAUCAACCUGAAACAUGUAGCCAAAGCUUUCGAGGAAUUGGUCUCACCACCGCUAACUAAUUCAGGCAAAUCAUUUAUUUUAGAUUCGACAAGGAUUUUAAAUGCAAGCCAAUCAGCAUUAUUUAAUUUAUAUUUCACACGAGGUUGUCGUUUUUGAUAAGGAGAGCGUCUAAUAAGUGAGGAUAUGAUAAUCGGGAAAUGAUCACUGCCAAAAGUAGAUGAUGAAGUGUACCAAGAACGAGAAGAAGCAAGAUCUGGAGUACAAAUUGAUAAGUCAACCGCGCUAAGCUUUUCAUUAGGCUUUGUACGUCUAGUUGGUGAGCCAGUAUUAAGUAAACACAAAUUAUGUAAAUCUAAUAUUUCAACUAAACGUACACCAUUGGAGUCAGUAGUGCCACAACCAAACAUUUGGUGAUGAGAGUUAAAGUCACCCAAUAGAAGGAAUGGACGACUAAGUGAAGAAAGUAAAUUAUUAACGCUAUUGAGAAUAACAAAAGAGGAACGAGCUAGAAAAAUUAAUUGAGUUCCUGACAAGUAAUGCUACGCCACCAUGGCCAUCAAAUCUAUCAUCACGCAAGCAGGUAUAUCCUGGGAUCCUAAAUAGGUACCCUGGCUUCAACCACGUUUCAGAUAACGCAACAACAACGGGAGAAUGUUUAUUUAUCAAAUAUAUUAAAUCAUGUUUCUUUGGAACAACACUCCUGCAAUUCCAUUGAAUUAUCUUGGAAUCCAUUAUUUUUAAUGACAUUAAAUUAUUUAAUUUUUUCAUUAAUAGAGGCAACCAGGGCCGCGCCGACUCCCGGCAGCGCCUGUGUGCGAAACCCACGAAGCGCCUCCUUUUUUUUAUAGGGGGCAAACGAGCCUGAGGGACGGACAAAAAUGGCAGUCAUCGCAGCCCAUAGGUAGACAUUUUUAGCGGGUGUGUUGCAGGCCUUUGAGGGAACUAUUUAUAUUUUUCGGCCUAUUUUUUACGAAUCUUCAAGUUUCAAUGUAUUUUUUAUAAUUUUUUAAUUUCGACCGAAAGAAAAAUUUUCUUUAGUUUAAUAUACUUACUUAAAUAAUAUUUUCUUAAAUAGGUAAAACGUCCGCUUGGCAAUUGCCGUGAAAAAUAAACCGCGAAUUAAAUUGU